rnacentral:rRNA from 1 species
GAUGAACGCUGGCGGUAUGCUUAACACAUGCAAGUCGAACGGACUCUUCGGAGUUAGUGGCGGGCGGGUGAGUAACGCGUGAGAAUCUGGCUUUGGGUUCGGGACAACCACUGGAAACGGUGGCUAAUACCGGAUGUGCCGAGAGGUAAAAGAGAAAUUGCCUGAAGAUGAGCUCGCGUCUGAUUAGCUAGUUGGUGAGGUAAAGGCUCACCAAGGCAGCGAUCAGUAGCUGGUCUGAGAGGAUGACCAGCCACACUGGGACUGAGACACGGCCCAGACUCCUACGGGAGGCAGCAGUGGGGAAUUGUCCGCAAUGGGCGAAAGCCUGACGGAGCAAUACCGCGUGAGGGAAGAAGGCUCUUGGGUUGUAAACCUCUUUUCUUAGGGAAGAACAAAAUGACGGUACCUAAGGAAUCAGCAUCGGCUAACUCCGUG